CCAAUAGCGUAUAUUAAAGUUGUUGCAGUUAAAAAGCUCGUAGUUGAAUUUCGGGGUUCAUACGUUGGUCGGGCUAUUUGGUCUGUACUUAUGUAAUGGAUUCCUACCUUCUGAAUAACCGGCAUGUCAUUAAUUUGGUGCGCCGGGGAAGCAGGACUGUUACCUUGAAAAAAUUAGAGUGCUUAAAGCAGGCUAUCGCCUGAAUACAUUAGCAUGGAAUAAUGAAAUAGGACGGCAUGGUUCUAUUUUGUUGGUUUCUAGGAUCACCGUAAUGAUUAAUAGGGAUAGUUGGGGGCAUUAGUAUUCAAUUGUCAGAGGUGAAAUUCUUGGAUUUAUUGAAGACUAACUUCUGCGAAAGCAUUUGCCAAGGAUGUUUUCAUUAAUCAAGAACGAAAGUUAGGGGAUCGAAGACGAUCAGAUACCGUCGUAGUCUUAACCAUAAACUAUGCCGACUAGGGAUCGGACGAUGUUAAUUUUUUAAUGACUCGUUCGGCGCCUUACG
rnacentral:misc_RNA from 1 species